CUGUUCUUUGCUCCAUGAGAAAGAUCCACCUAUGACCUCAGGUCCUCAGACCGACCAGCCCAAGGAACAUCUCACCAAUUUUAAAUCAGAUUUUCUCAGCUUAGCAGCUGAAGACUGACGCUGCCGGAUUGCCUCGGAAGCCCCCUAGACCAUCACGGACGCCGAGCUUCCGGUAACUCUCACAGUGGAAGACGCGCAUGAAAUUUGGUGCCAAAACCUGGGUACAUCUUCCUGAAUCAGCCUUCUGAGAACUGUUCCACUUUGCAG